GUGUGGGUUGAUAUAGUUUUUGCGGAAAAAUUAGGUUGAAGAAAUAAAGUUUUCUUGUUAAAAGUAAAAACAAUUAUCUAUAUAUGUUCGUUGAAAGAAUGGGACGGAGAGCAAAUAAGGUAAAAAUUUAAAGUUUAUGUAAUAAAAUCAAUUACUUUAGUUAUGCUAAUAUAUUAUAUUUAUCCAAAAUUUCAUUCUUAAGCAAGUCUUAUACUUUCAGAAACAGAAAUUAAUUACUUUUGUAUGGUAAGAUAUUAUAUUUAACCAAAAUUAUCAUUUAAA
rnacentral:lncRNA from 1 species